UAGUCAUAUGCUUGUCUUAGAGAUUAAGCCAUGCAUGUCUAAGUUUAAGUAAGUUAAACGCGAAACUGCGGACGGCUCAUUAAAUCAGUUACAACCUACUCGAUCUUGGUUAUUUAAACGGAUAACUGUGGUAAUUCUAGAGCUAAUACGUGAGAGUAAGACCCAACUUUUCGGAAGGGUCGCACUUGUCAAGUACGAAAUUCCGCACGUCGCAAGACGUUGUUGGUGACUCAAGGCAAGUACAGCGAAGCGCAGCGAGCAUCGACUCGGCGCUAGGUCGAUCGGGUUUCUGACCUAUCAACUAAUUCGUAGCGCACUGGACUACGAAGGUGAUAACGGGUGACGGGGAAUUAGGGUUCGAUUCCGGAGAGGGAGCUUGAGAAAUGGCUACCACUUCCAAGGAAGGCAGCAGGCGCGCAAAUUACCCAAUGCCAAUACGGCGAGGUAGUGACAAUACAUAACGAUCUCAGUCUUCGGAUUGGGAAUCGGAAUGAGAACAUUGUAAACAACUUAGCGAGGAACAAUUA
rnacentral:rRNA from 1 species